GACGAACGCUGGCGGCGUGCUUAACACAUGCAAGUCGAACGGAAAGGCCCUGCUUUUGUGGGGUGCUCGAGUGGCGAACGGGUGAGUAACACGUGAGUAACCUGCCCUUGACUUUGGGAUAACUUCAGGAAACUGGGGCUAAUACCGGAUAGGAGCUCCUGCUGCAUGGUGGGGGUUGGAAAGUUUCGGCGGUGGGGGAUGGACUCGCGGCUUAUCAGCUUGUUGGUGGGGUAGUGGCUUACCAAGGCUUUGACGGGUAGCCGGCCUGAGAGGGUGACCGGCCACAUUGGGACUGAGAUACGGCCCGGACUCCUACGGGAGGCAGCAGUGGGGAAUAUUGCACAAUGGGCGGAAGCCUGAUGCAGCAACGCCGCGUGCGGGAUGACGGCCUUCGGGUUGUAAACCGCUUUCGCCUGUGACGAAGCGUGAGUGACGGUAAUGGGUAAAGAAGCACCGGCUAACUACGUG
rnacentral:rRNA from 1 species